GAGUUUGAUCCUGGCUCAGAUUGAACGCUGGCGGCAUGCCUUACACAUGCAAGUCGAACGGCAGCACGGGAGCUUGCUCCUGGUGGCGAGUGGCGAACGGGUGAGUAAUGCAUCGGAACGUAUCCUGGAGUGGGGGAUAACGUAGCGAAAGUUACGCUAAUACCGCAUAUUCUGUGAGCAGGAAAGCGGGGGACCUUCGGGCCUCGCGCUCUUGGAGCGGCCGAUGUCGGAUUAGCUAGUUGGUGAGGUAAAGGCUCACCAAGGCGACGAUCCGUAGCAGGUCUGAGAGGAUGAUCUGCCACACUGGAACUGAGACACGGUCCAGACUCCUACGGGAGGCAGCAGUGGGGAAUAUUGGACAAUGGGCGAAAGCCUGAUCCAGCCAUGCCGCGUGUGUGAAGAAGGUCUUCGGAUUGUAAAGCACUUUAAGUUGGAGGAAGGCAGUAAGUUAAUACCUUGCUGUUUGACGUUACCGACAGAAUAAGCACCGG
rnacentral:rRNA from 1 species